ACCCACAAACAGAAUUUUAGUUCAACUUUAAAUUUACCUAAAAAAAACGAAAUUUCAAUGUAAAUUUAAAAUAUAAUCUAAAAAGGUACAGCUUUUUAGAGCAAGGACACAACCUUUAUUAGAGAGUAAAUAUUAACAUAACCAUAGUUGGCCUAAAAGCAGCCAUCAAUUGAGAAAGCGUUCAAGCUCAACAAACAAUGCAACUUAAUCCCAACCGUAUUGCAUCAACUCCUAAUUCACCUCCUGGGUUAUUCUAUUUAAGUAUAGAAGCAAUAAUGCUAGUAUGAGUAACAAGAAUUAUUUCUCCCCGCAUAAGCUUAUAUCAGAAACGGAUAGACCACUGAUAGUUAACAACCUGAUAAAACCAACCCAAAAAUAAAACACUUAUCUACCCCAUUGUUAACCCAACACAGGUAUGCACUCAAGGAAAGAUUAAAAGAAGUAAAAGGAACUCGGCAAACAUAAACCCCGCCUGUUUACCAAAAACAUCACCUCCAGCAUUACCAGUAUUGGAGGCACUGCCUGCCCAGUGACAUCCGUUAAACGGCCGCGGUAUCCUGACCGUGCAAAGGUAGCAUAAUCAUUUGUUCUCUAAAUAGGGACUUGUAUGAAUGGCCACACGAGGGUUUAACUGUCUCUUACUUCCAAUCAGUGAAAUUGACCUUCCCGUGAAGAGGCGGGAAUACUAUAAUAAGACGAGAAGACCCUAUGGAGCUUUAAUUAAUUAGCCCAAACUUAUGAACUUCAAACCCCACUGGGAAUAACAUACUACCAUUGUUAUGGGCUAACAAUUUAGGUUGGGGUGACCUCGGAAUAUAAAAAAACUCCCGAGUGAUUAAAAUUUAGACCUACCAGUCAAAAUGUACCAUCACUUAUUGAUCCAAUAAUCUUUGAUCAACGAAACAAGUUACCCUAGGGAUAACAGCGCAAUCCUAUUUAAGAGUCCAUAUCGACAAUAGGGUUUACGACCUCGAUGUUGGAUCAGGACAUCCUAAUGGUGCAGCAGCUAUUAAGGGUUCGUUUGUUCAACGAUUAAAG
rnacentral:rRNA from 1 species